AUUUUUGGUUGUAUUUCGCUCUGAAAUCACAUUCAAGUGUUAUAUAUUUCUCUGCUCUGUGUGCAUGAGUGAUUUUGUAGCCACUGAUGAAUGAACUCAGUCUGUUACUGUCCUUCGCUCUGGGAGCUUCCAUGUGGACCGAGGGAGGAGGAGGAGAGGGAGAGGAAGAGGAGGAUACAGACAGCAACACAGAGGAGACCAGGAGCAUGGGAGGAGGGAAAGUAACUGAUGGAGAGAAAGCAAGAGAGAGAGAGAGAGAGAUGGAGUGAGCGGCUCUGAGCAACACUGAGAGCUCGGGAGGGAGGGAAGAUGCCAGACAAAAUAUGAAGUCGGGGAGAAAAUACCUGAACGCAAUUAAAAACGAGACUGAAAACAUUCUGAAACCAAGUUAGUCUAAAACAGGAGACGUUGAAGACAAAUUCACGAAGUCUUCCGGACAUUGAUUGUGGAUGCUGUGAUUCCCUUGGACGAUUUGUCAGAUGGGAUUUCAAUAUUUAAAGCCGGAGCAAAAUGGUACUCUCUCCUCCCAACGUCCUUCCUGCUCUCUUCUGAAACUAACUGCAUGGCUUUUUGGCCUCUGACCUUUGAACUUGUCCUGUUCUUCCUUUUACUUGAUUUGCUUUCCAGUUGAAGAGGACCAGUCUUCCAUUCUUGGACCAGGACGUCCAGUUAGCCGUUGCAAUACAGACGACGUCUUCGUAACUCAUUGAGACAGGCUCUGAAACUGAUUUUCACAGGGAUUGCAUUGUGAUAUCUUGGACGUGCACAAUCAAGACGAGCUGGACAACACUUCCAUCACCAGAUGAGGACAGCAGGACCAUCAAACUCAGUUGCAGUGAAAGAUUAAUGAACCUAGGCAUUUUUCAUGUUCUCUCUAUUUACAGCAAAAAUAACACCACCGUCAACCAGAUUCAUCAGUCAGCACUACCAACAAGCUGUAACUGGCUCUCUGAGGUUCUAGAAACAAUCUGAGCUUCAGUCUGAACGCUGAGGGACUGUUUAAGAAACAGAGGGAGGUAAUAAGAGUGACAGAACUGGACCAGACGGAAGAAAGGAGAAGGAACAGGGCCGUGUGGGGCUUCCACAAGUUCUUUCAGGUCCUGCAGGCAUGGAUGCAACACUGGAAUAGAAAACAGGACGGGAAGUUUCUGCUUUCCCACUGGUACAAUGUGUGCAGGCGUGGCUCCCCCUGGAGGUGGGGAUCAGUGAUAUUAAACAUGCUCCCCCAUGGCCAUCAUCACAGGUGUCGGGCCAUUGUGGAGGAGCCAGAGAACGAUCGAGAGGAGAGGAUUCUGGCAAUACUGGGGAUUAUCGGCACCGUGCUCAACCUGCUGGUAGUCAUCUUCGUCUACAUCUACACCACCUUUUAAGAUCUCAAGCUACAGGAUGCCCUCAUCUGACGGAAUGGCAAUAAAGCGGAGAAGAACAGAGGCAGGAAAAGACUGGCAUCAUUUUUCUUCACCAAAAACCAUCAAGCAGUGCCUGACCUAUUCAAUCAAUCUGGAAAAUGCAAGCAUUAAGUUCAAAGCUACACUGAGACCUUUUAGUUUCAGUUAGUCUAAAAGAUAGCUUACACGUCAUUAAUUAUUUGUAUAUCUGUUCAUUAUUCACAUGUUCAUUUUGUAUAGUCUUGAUUAUAAUUGCAUGUUCUCUGAUUUCUUACGUACACUAAGUAUUAUAUACGCUAUUUCAGAUGUGUGUGACUUUCACUUACAGCUGACCUGGGCACAUGCAGUCCAGAUGCGGAUCCAGAGCAGAGCAACAUUAAGGUCCAGAUUUUGAGGCUCUAAAAUCUGUUUUUGAACAUGCAGAGAUAGGCAAAAGGUUAUUGAAUUAGUUGUUUUUUUACUGCAUUGUCUCUAUAUAAAGCACAACAGAGCAGAAUGCCACAACAAUGUCUUGUUCUCAGGUGUUUAGCAGGUUAGUGGGAAAGUUUACUUGAAAAGUGAAGGCAGUCGGCCUCUUUGUUGCUGUCACGAUCAUAUAAUGAGACUGAUCUCAAUUGACACUUUCUACUCAAUGUGCUUUUUGCAACUAAAAACUUCAACCUGAUGAAAACAGUGUUGUGAUAGUUUUGUACAACAAAAAAUGGUUUGACUGUCGGAGUAAUAUGAAAUAAGAGAAAGAUGGGGUUGGAAACAUGCUUUUAAAACAUCAUAAGAAAUGGUUUUGACUGUUGAAAUGGGCUUUUAGCUUCUUCUGCAAUGUUUUGAAAGAAAAUAUUAAACUUUAAUAAACCUAAGAAGAAGAUGUAUCCAAUGUUUCUUAUAAUUAAAGGGACAGUUCACCCAGAAAUGACAAAUCUGUCAUCAUAUGACUUCCUCGGAGCUCAAAAGGAGAUGUUAGGGAGAAUGACAGACUCAGUCACUAUUCACUUUCAUUGUAUGGAUAAAAGAUGCAAUGGAAAUGAAUGGUGACUGACUUCCAUUCAGCUUAACAUCUACUUUUGUCUUCCACUGAAUAAAGAAAGUCAUACAGGUUUCAAUCAACAUGAGGGUGAGUAAAUGAUGAGGGGAGCACCGUCCCUUUAAAAUGACCAUGAAAUCAAAAUGAACCAUUCCUUUUUUUUCCCCUUCCAAUUAUUUUACGGAAUAUUGCAGUACUUAUUAUAAAUUAUUUAUCCAUGCACAUCAUCAUUAUUUAAUUUUUUUCUAAAUUCAGUCACAGUAGCAGUGUUAUUUUAGUUUCAUUGAAAUACUAUUAUAGUUUUUAUUAAUAUUUUGAAUAAUUUUUUAUUUUUGUUUUAGUCAUUUUUGUACAUCAAGUUAAAUUACAUUAACCCUUGUGCGACCUUAUUGACAUUUUUGUCUUUUUCAGGGUUUUUUUUUUUUUUUUUUUUUUUUGAUAAUUUUGCCUGUGUUAAUGCCAACUGCAUACAUUUUGGCACAGGUAUGUAUUUUUAUUAGAAUUUUACUAUUUCACCCCUAUUUCCUUUAAUAAAUCUAUUUUGCACCAGUAACACAAAAUGGUUCCUCUCAGGACCUGAAGGACAAAAAUGUCCCCUUUGAAACCCAUUAAAACUGCACUUUUUAAUCCCAGGGCCAUUUAACUAUAAAAUGAUGCAAUCUUUGUUAAGAGGCUUUCAUUCUGUUGGCAAGGCUUCAAAAAUUUAAAUUUUUACUCUUUUUUACCAGAUGGUGCCAUUUUCUCAGGUUUGGCCUAUAAAGCAAAUACUCACUUUGUUCCUAUUUUCUGCUUAUUAUAGAGCCAGUUUGAUGAAUUAAAGGGUUAGUUCACCCAGAAAUGAGCAGUGUUUUGAAAUCGGCCCAUCACUAGAUAUCGCUGAAAAGUCAUCAUUUAGUUUUUUUGGCACACAAAAAAAUUGCUCGUCGCUUUAUAAUAUUAAGAUUGAACCACUGAACUCACAUGAACUGAUUUAAAUAUGUUUUGAGUACCUUUCUGGAUCUUGAGAAGUUCAAUGACAUUGCUGUCUAUAGAGGCCUCACUGAGCCAUCAGAUUUAAUCAAAAAUAACCUAAUUUGUGUUCCGAAGAUGAACGAAGGUCUUACGGGUGUAGAACAACAUGAGGGUGAGUAAUAAAUGACAUUAUUUUCAUUUUUGGGUGAACUAACCCUUUAAGCAGCUAUAAUUGUGUGGGUGUGUUGUUAUGGAUGACAGAGUGUGGUCUGUAUGUGUGUAAUAAAUAAAAAAAAUUGUG